rnacentral:rRNA from 1 species
GGUAGAGUUUGAUCCUGGCUCAGGACGAACGCUGGCGACGUGCUUAACACAUGCAAGUCAAGGGGGCCCAGCAAUGGGCAACCGGCGAACGGGUGCGUAACACGUGAGCAACCUACCGAACUGUGGGGGAUAGCCGGCCUAACGGCCGAGUAAUACCGCAUACGCUCUCAGGGAGGCAUUUCUUUGAGAGGAAACCUACGGGACAGAUCGAGGGGCUCGCGGCCUAUCAGCUAGUUGGCGAGGUAACGGCUCACCAAGGCGACGACGGGUAGCUGGUCUGAGAGGAUGGCCAGCCACAUUGGGACUGAGAUACGGCCCAGACUCCUACGGGAGGCAGCAGUGGGGAAUCUUGCGCAAUGGCCUAACGGCUGACGCAGCGACGCCGCGUGUGGGAUGAAGCUCCUCGGAGUGUAAACCACUGUUGCCCGGGACGAACAGCUCGAUUUCUCGAGCCUGACGGUACCGGGUGAGGAAGCACCGGCUAACUCCGUGCCAGCAGCCGCGGUAAUACGGGGGGUGCGAGCGUUGUCCGGAAUCACUGGGCGUAAAGGGCGCGUAGGUGGUUUGAUAAGGGUGUGGUGAAAGUCCGGGGCUCAACCCCGGAUCUGCCGUGCCGACUGUCAAACUCGAGGACUGUAGAGGCAGACGGAAUUCCGGGUGUAGCGGUGGAAUGCGUAGAGAUCCGGAGGAAGACCGGUGGCGAAGGCGGUCUGCUGGGCAGUUUCUGACACUGAGGCGCGACAGCGUGGGGAGCAAACAGGAUUAGAUACCCUGAUAGUCCACGCCGUAAACGAUGGGUACUAGGUGCCUGGGGGAGCGACCCUCUGGGUGCCGGCGCUAACGCAGGAAGUACCCCGCCUGGGGAGUACGACCGCAAGGUUGAAACUCAAAGGAAUUGACGGGGGCCCGCACAAGCGGUGGAGCAUGUGGUUCAAUUCGACGCAACGCGAAGAACCUUACCCAGGCUUGAACAGCGACUGACAUCCGGCGAAAGCCGGCUCCCGCAAGGGCAGUCGUAGAGGUGCUGCAUGGCUGUCGUCAGCUCGUGUCGUGAGAUGUUGGGUUAAGUCCCGCAACGAGCGCAACCCUUGUCCUCUGUUGCCAUCAGGUUAUGCUGGGCACUCUGAGGAGACUGCCGGUGAUAAACCGGAGGAAGGUGGGGAUGACGUCAAGUCAGCAUGGCCUUUAUGUCUGGGGCUACACACGUGCUACAAUGGCAGAUACAAACCGUCGCGAUACCGCAAGGUGGAGCUAAUCGGAGAAAGUCUGUCUCAGUUCGGAUUGCAGGCUGCAACUCGCCUGCAUGAAGUUGGAAUCGCUAGUAAUCGCGGAUCAGCAUGCCGCGGUGAAUACGUUCCCGGGCCUUGUACACACCGCCCGUCACAUCACGAAAGCUGGCUGUACUAGAAGUCGCCGCGCUAACCCGCAAGGGAGGUAAGCGCCUAAGGUAUGGUUAGUGAUUGGGGUGAAGUCGUAACAAGGUAACC